rnacentral:rRNA from 1 species
UACGUAGGGCCUAGCGUUGUCCGGAUUUAUUGGGCGUAAAGAGCUCGUAGGCGGUUUGGUGAGUCGGGUGUGAAAUCUCCACGCUCCAACGUGGGAGGGGCCACCCGAUACUGCCAUGACUAGAGUCCGGUAGGGGAGUGUGGAAUUCCUGGUGUAGCGGUGGAAUGCGCAGAUAUCAGGAGGAACACCAAUGGCGAAAGGCAGAUCUCUGGGCCGUAACUGACGCUGAGGA